GUUUGUGGCUCAGCGGUAGAGCGCUUGCCUAGCAUGUGCAAGGCUCUGAGUUUGAUCCUCAGCACCACA
rnacentral:tRNA from 1 species